rnacentral:rRNA from 1 species
UUUUGGCCACAAGGCCAAGAUGGGUAGGAUACCGCUUUACCCGCGGUGUGAAAUCUAGCAGAGGGCCAGUCUGGUGCCAGCAGCUGCGGUAAUUCCAGCUCUGCAAGUUUGCUCCCAUAUUGUUGCAGUUAAAACGCCCGUAGUCUGAAUUUGGAUUUUUUAAUAUCCGGUAUUCCGUAAGGAGUUCACUGUGAACAAAUCAGGACGCUUAGUGUAUUUUUUUGAAUGAAUGACUCAGCGCAGUAUGAAAUAUUUACCGAAAGGUAAGCUCAAUGAGAGCCAUCGGGGGUAGAUCUAUUCCAUGGCGAGCGGUGGAAUGCUUUGACCCAUGUGGAGAGACACGAAAGCGAAGGCAUCUACCUAGAGGGUUUCUGUCGAUCAAGGGCGAGAGUAGGAGUAUCCAACCGGAUCAGAGACCCGGGUAGUUCCUACUGUAAACGAUGCCGACAGGGGCUUGUACUUUUUUAAGUGCAGGACCUUAGGAGAAAUCAUAGUUCUUGGGCUCUGGGGGAACUACGACCACAAGGCUGAAACUUGAAGGAAUUGACGGAAGGGCACACCAGGGGUGGAGCCUGUGGCUUAAUUUGAAUCAACACGGGGAAACUUACCAGAACCAGAUGUUUUUUGUGACUGACAGGCUAGGGGUCUUUCAGGAUAUGACUUUUGGUGGUGCAUGGCCGUUGGUGGUGCGUGGGUUGACCUGUCUAGCGUUGAUUCAGCUAACGAGCGAGAUUAUCGCCAAUUACUUAGAGCGUACUGGUUUUCCAGUUUCACGCUUCUUCUAAUUGGGACUCCCUGCGAUUAAGCAGGAGGAAGAGGGUAGCAAUAACAGGUCCGUGAUGUCCUUUAGAUGCUCUGGGCUGCACGCGUGCUACAAUGUUAGUCUCAAAGGG